AACGAACGCUGGCGGCAUGCCUAACACAUGCAAGUCGAACGAGAUCUUCGGGUCUAGUGGCGCACAGGUGCGUAACGCGUGGGAAUCUGCCCUUUGGUUCGGAAUAACAGCUGGAAACGACUGGUAAUACCGGAUGAUGACGAAAGUCCAAAGAUUUUUCGCCAUAGGAUGAGCCCGUGUAGGGUUAGCAAGUUGGUGUGGUAAAGGCGCACCAAGGCGACGAUCCUUAGCUGGUCUGAGAGGAUGAUCAGCCACACUGGGACUGAGACACGGCCCAGACUCCUACGGGAGGCAGCAGUGGGGAAUAUUGGACAAUGGGCGAAAGCCUGAUCCAGCAAUGCCGCGUGAGUGAUGAAGGCCUUAGGGUUGUAAAGCUCUUUUACCCGGGAUGAUAAUGACAGUACCGGGAGAAUAAGCUCCGGCUAACUCCGUGCCAGCAGCCGCCGUAA
rnacentral:rRNA from 1 species